AGCUCCAAUAGCGUAUAUUAAAGUUGUUGCAGUUAAAAGCUCGUAGUUGGACUUGUGCGUCCCGCUGAUGUCCCUUGUGGUACGUUUGGCGGGAUGCAUCCUUGGGUGGAACCUGUGUGGCAUUAGGUUGUUGUGCAGGGGAUGCUCAUCGUUUACUGUGAAAAAUUAGAGUGUUCAAAGCAGGCUUAUGCCGUUGAAUAUAUUAGCAUGGAAUAAUAAGAUAGGACCUUGGUACUAUUUUGUUGGUUUGCGCACCGAGGUAAUGAUUAACAGGGACAGUUGGGGGUAUUCGUAUUCCAUUGUCAGAGGUGAAAUUCUUGGAUUUCUGGAAGACGAACUACUGCGAAAGCAUUUACCAAGGAUGUUUUCA
rnacentral:rRNA from 1 species